UACCAUCUGGAUACAAAUCGGAUAUAUGGUCAUUAGGUUGCUGCAUGUUUGAAAUAGCUGCACAUCAACCUGCAUUUAGAGCUCCUGAUUUGGCAGGACUUGUUAACAAAAUAAACCGAUCAUACAUGUCACCACUUCCAAUUGUGUACUCUUCUGCAUUGAAACAAUUAAUCAAGAGCAUGUUAAGAAAGAACCCAGACAACUGACCAACAGUGAGUUCAAAUGACCAAACUCUGUCAUAUCUUUCUGAAAGCAAUGAUUUGUUGUCCUGAAACUUUCGCCACAUUUUAGGCUGCAGAGCUGU